GUGAAUCAUCAAAUCUUUGAACGCAAAUUGCACUCUCUUCGGAGAGGAUGCCUGUUUGAGGGUCAGCCUAAAAAAGAUCGACAUCGUUGCUGUUUCUCGGUGGCGUUCGUCGGAAGUUGGGUUAUCUUAUAUCUUUGGGUUAAGCGACUUAAAAUUUUCUUUACGAUUCCAUGAACGUUUCCAAGAUUUAUUUCUUUACACGUUGAAGUUGUCGUUUUU
rnacentral:misc_RNA from 1 species